CAACUAGGCUCCUCCGUCCAUGGGAUUCUCCAGGCAAGAAUACUGGAGUGGAUUGCCACUUCCUUCUCCAGGGGAUCUUCCCGACUCAGGGAUCGAACCCGGGUCUCCCGCACUGAAGAUGAGGAAAGAGAAAGCAUGCGACCCUGGAUAAUUUACUCAUUGCCUGAUCACAAGCCAGCACAUGCCUUAUAAAAACAGCAUCAUUCUAAAACUGGGGUGGCUGUGUUCCUGAUUGAACUGAAAGUAGAAAUGCAAUUGAUUCUCGGAUGUGCUGGCAGGAGGCGGAGCAGCCAUACUGACCUACGAGGUAGCAGCUGAGUGUUGAGGAUGCAGAGAAAAAAGACAGAAAGAGCCUGGGUUGCUAAUGAGUUAUUGGAGAGAGGCAACGCGCCAGCUCAGACUUUUAAGGGCAAGAGAAUUAAACUGUUAUUUGUUCAGCC
ensembl:lncRNA